UUUUUUUUUUUUUUUUUUUUUUGGCUCUGCACAUUAAUGGCGCGCCGAACUCAAACCCUAACGAUGGAAACUCUAGAACCGGCAACCCCUUCUUCCUCCAUAACAGCAGCAACCUCAAAUUCUCAAAACCAAAGCUUGACCCCGUCACCAUUACCGCCAUCAGUAUCAAGGCUUUGGAGGCCAGCGGCACAGAGAAACCUCAGAAAUCAAUGGUCCAAACUAGCUGCUUACAGGCAACAAUGGGCCUCCUCUUCUUCCGCUGGAAAAUCGCACGCCACUUCUCUCGUCAACGCUUAUCUUUCUCAGAUAUAUAUGCCUUCUAUGGAGUUGGGUGCUCUAAAUGAUAUCCCCGGUAUACGAGAGAAGGCUUGUCAGAAAUUGUAUAAGCAGCAGGAGCUUCAUGGGAGGAAACUUUUGUCAUCCUACAAAGACAUGUUGUCUAAGGUGACUGUUGUAACCCACUUGGUCAAAACUAGUAAAUCCAUGAGAUGUUACCUGAAAGGGACAAGCAGCAGUCCACUUGUACAAUUUUCUGGUUGUUCUGAGGAUAAGAGUGAUUCAGGAGAUGGUGGUGGGAUCCCGGUCUUUGUAUUUUGGCCAAUCUCUUGGUUUGAGAAAUUAGCGGAGGAGCUCAUGUUGAUGCUUGUGCAGGAGCUAAUCUUGAAGAGAUUACUAAUGGUGGAGUUGCUAUCCGUUGGUUGUGAAGGAAAAGUGGUUAAUGGGUACAAUUGGUCAGAUGAGCUUUAUCCUGGAGAAUUUGAUGAUUUGAGUAUGUGUACCUUGUUAUCUGGAGAAACGUGUGAGCCAGUCCAUCCAAGACUCCAGAUCCAGAAAUCUAAUAUACUUGCUGCACCAUCUAACCAACAGCCAAACGAAGAUGUUAUGCAGGUUUAUCUAACAACUUGGCUUGCAGAGGUGAACAUAGAUACUGAUAGGGUUGAUGAAAUAUUUGCUGUAAUAGGGGAGGAAAUGCAUGUUACCCUUUGAUAAGCUGCAUGCUACAUUAAAAUAGAUAUCAAACAGAGAUUUGGAGGCUGCAGGGCCCUAAGUUUUGAUGAUAUGCCUAGAGACAUUAUGAAGAGGGAGAGAGGGUCCCCAAGUACUUGAAUCAAGUAACUUAUUGCAAGAGUGCUGGACCAGAGAAAAUGGAAGAACCAUAUUUAAAUGUUCUUAGCUCUGGUGGUGGUUUGCUUGCAUGAGAGCUGAUGCUCACAUAAAAUGAGAGAGUAUAUUAUUUAUUGUACAUUAUUUGUCUCAUCGAUGCACAAGGGUAUAUUAGGAUUGUACUUUGUCAUUUGUGUAAAAAUGAGUCAACAAGUGGCAAUGUGAAUUUGGAAAUGCAACUUCCGUAAUCUGUUUAUAUGGUAGAGCAUUUAUGGAAAUAUUGGUGCAAGGGAUAUCAAA